rnacentral:lncRNA from 1 species
UACUUCAGAGCUCGUUUAAGUAAGAGAGAGUUGUGGCCAAGUUCAGUUCUUUAGGUUCUCUUUGUUAUAUUAUUUGUUGUAAUAUUUCAUGCUCAAUUUUUUGAAUGAUACUUUCUGGCCAUUUUUAGUUGGUCAGCAUCAAGUUAAAGUUAUUAUUUUUUUUAAAAAAAAAAAUAAUAAAUUCUUGAGAUGAUGUUGGAUGAGAGUUAAAGGGCAAAAUUAGCAAUUAUAGCCACAUCCAACUGGGAGACCCCUAAAACUCCUAAAAUUACAAUGUAAGGACACAUAAAAUAUAUACUAUUUUGCCUUCUCG